rnacentral:rRNA from 1 species
AGAGUUUGAUCCUGGCUCAGGACGAACGCUGGCGGCGUGCUUAACACAUGCAAGUCGAGCGAUGAAGCUUCCUUCGGGAAGUGGAUUAGCGGCGGACGGGUGAGUAACACGUGGGUAACCUGCCUCAAAGUGGGGGAUAGCCUUCCGAAAGGAAGAUUAAUACCGCAUAAUAUAAGAGAAUCGCAUGAUUUUCUUAUCAAAGAUUUAUUGCUUUGAGAUGGACCCGCGGCGCAUUAGCUAGUUGGUAAGGUAACGGCUUACCAAGGCAACGAUGCGUAGCCGACCUGAGAGGGUGAUCGGCCACAUUGGAACUGAGACACGGUCCAGACUCCUACGGGAGGCAGCAGUGGGGAAUAUUGCGCAAUGGGGGAAACCCUGACGCAGCAACGCCGCGUGGGUGAUGAAGGUCUUCGGAUUGUAAAGCCCUGUUUUCUAGGACGAUAAUGACGGUACUAGAGGAGGAAGCCACGGCUAACUACGUGCCAGCAGCCGCGGUAAUACGUAGGUGGCGAGCGUUGUCCGGAUUUACUGGGCGUAAAGGGUGCGUAGGCGGAUGUUUAAGUGGGAUGUGAAAUCCCCGGGCUUAACCUGGGGGCUGCAUUCCAAACUGGAUAUCUAGAGUGCAGGAGAGGAAAGCGGAAUUCCUAGUGUAGCGGUGAAAUGCGUAGAGAUUAGGAAGAACACCAGUGGCGAAGGCGGCUUUCUGGACUGUAACUGACGCUGAGGCACGAAAGCGUGGGUAGCAAACAGGAUUAGAUACCCUGGUAGUCCACGCCGUAAACGAUGGAUACUAGGUGUAGGGGGUAUCAACUCCCCCUGUGCCGCAGUUAACACAAUAAGUAUCCCGCCUGGGGAGUACGGUCGCAAGAUUAAAACUCAAAGGAAUUGACGGGGGCCCGCACAAGCAGCGGAGCAUGUGGUUUAAUUCGAAGCAACGCGAAGAACCUUACCUGGACUUGACAUCCCUUGCAUAGCCUAGAGAUAGGUGAAGCCCUUCGGGGCAAGGAGACAGGUGGUGCAUGGUUGUCGUCAGCUCGUGUCGUGAGAUGUUAGGUUAAGUCCUGCAACGAGCGCAACCCUUGUUAUUAGUUGCUACCAUUAAGUUGAGCACUCUAAUGAGACUGCCUGGGUAACCAGGAGGAAGGUGGGGAUGACGUCAAAUCAUCAUGCCCCUUAUGUCCAGGGCUACACACGUGCUACAAUGGUAGGUACAAUAAGACGCAAGACCGUGAGGUGGAGCAAAACUUAUAAAACCUAUCUCAGUUCGGAUUGUAGGCUGCAACUCGCCUACAUGAAGCUGGAGUUGCUAGUAAUCGCGAAUCAGAAUGUCGCGGUGAAUACGUUCCCGGGCCUUGUACACACCGCCCGUCACACCAUGAGAGCUGGUAACACCCGAAGUCCGUGAGGUAACCGUAAGGAGCCAGCGGCCGAAGGUGGGAUUAGUGAUUGGGGUGAAGUCGUAACAAGGUAACC